rnacentral:rRNA from 1 species
AUUGAACGCUGGCGGCAGGCCUAACACAUGCAAGUCGAGCGGAUGAAGGGAGCUUGCUCCUGGAUUCAGCGGCGGACGGGUGAGUAAUGCCUAGGAAUCUGCCUGGUAGUGGGGGAUAACGUCAGGAAACGGGCGCUAAUACCGCAUACGUCCUGAGGGAGAAAGUGGGGGAUCUUCGGACCUCACGCUAUCAGAUGAGCCUAGGUCGGAUUAGCUAGUUGGUGGGGUAAAGGCCUACCAAGGCGACGAUCCGUAACUGGUCUGAGAGGAUGAUCAGUCACACUCGAACUGAGACACGGUCCAGACUCCUACGGGAGGCAGCAGUGGGGAAUAUUGGACAAUGGGCGAAAGCCUGAUCCAGCCAUGCCGCGUGUGUGAAGAAGGUCUUCGGAUUGUAAAGCACUUUAAGUUGGGAGGAAGGGCAGUAAGUUAAUACCUUGCUGUUUUGACGUUACCAACAGAAUAAGCACCGGCUAACUUCGUG